rnacentral:rRNA from 1 species
AGCGGCAGCUAUCAUGCAGUCGAGCGAACAGAAGGGAGCUUGCUCCCGGAUGUUAGCGGCGGACGGGUGAGUAACAUGUGGGUAACCUGCCUGUAAAACUGGGAUAACUCCGGGAAACCGGAGCUAAUACCGGAUAGUUCCUUGAACCGCAAGGUUCACGGAUGAAAGACGGUUUCGGCUGUCACUUACAGAUGGACCCGCGGCGCAUUAUCUAGUUGGUGGGGUAAUGGCUCACCAAGGCGACCAUGCGUAACCAACCUGAGAGGGUGAUCGGCCACACUGGGACUGAUACACGGCCCAGACUCCUACGGGAGGCAUCAAUAGGGAAUCUUCCCCAGUGGACGAAAUUCUGACGGAGCAACGCCGCGUGAGUGAUGAAGGUUUUCUGAUCGUAAAGCUCUGUUGUUAGGAAAGAACACG